rnacentral:rRNA from 1 species
UACGUAGGGUGCGAGCGUUAAUCGGAAUUACUGGGCGUAAAGCGUGCGCAGGCGGUUUUGUAAGCCAGAUGUGAAAUCCCCGGGCUUAACCUGGGAAUGGCAUUUGGGACUGCAAGGCUGGAGUUUGGCAGAGGAGACUGGAAUUCCUGGUGUAGCAGUGAAAUGCGUAGAUAUCAGGAGGAACACCGGUGGCGAAGGCGGCCAUCUGGACGACAACUGACGCUGAGAUGCGAAAGCGUGGGGAGCAAACAGG